CCUACGGGGGGCAGCAGUGAGGAAUAUUGGUCAAUGGGCGCAAGCCUGAACCAGCCAAGUCGCGUGAGGGAUGACGGUCCUAUGGAUUGUAAACCUCUUUUGUCGGGGAGCAAGGCCCGCCACGUGUGGCGGGAAGGAGAAUACCCGAAGAAAAAGCAUCGGAUAAAUACGUGCCAGCAGCCGCGGUAAAACGGAGGAGGCGAGCGUUAUCCGGAUUGAUUGGGGUUAAAGGGUGCGUAGGCGGAAGGUUAAGUCAGCGGUAAAAUGUCGGUGCUCAACACCGGCCGGCCGUUGAAACUGGUCUUCUUGAGUGAGCGAGAAGUAUGCGGAAUGCGUGGUGUAGCGGUGAAAUGCAUAGAUAUCACGCAGAACUCCGAUUGCGAAGGCAGCAUACCGGCGCUCAACUGACGCUGAGGCACGAAAGCGUGGGGAUCGAACAGGAUUAGAUACCCGGGUAGUC
rnacentral:rRNA from 1 species